rnacentral:rRNA from 1 species
CACGUAGGCACCAAGCGUUGUCCGGAUUUAUUGGGCGUAAAGAGCUCGUAGGCGGUUCGGUAAGUCGGGUGUGAAAACUCUGGGCUCAACCCAGAGCCGCCACCCGAUACUGCUGUGACUCGAGUGCGGUAGGGGAGCGGGGAAUUCUUGGUGUAGCGGUGAAAUGCGCAGAUAUCAGGAGGAACACCAGUGGCGAAGGCGCCGCUCUGGGCCGUGACUGACGCUGAGGAGCGAAAGCGUGGGUAGCAAACAGG